AACCGACUGAGCCACCCAGGCACCCCUCCGCUACAUUUAAAUAAAACAAUUUUGUCAAGUUUCCUCUUAAGAGUAAAACAGUUUUCGGAGAAGAACCUGGAGCCCAGGGCUGGCACUGGAACAUUUGAGUAUCUGCUGUUCGACCAGCUUUUCCUGUUGGCUUGCUAUUCCCAGGAAACCAUCAAUGGGGCUGUUCCGCUGGGGUGAAGGGCUAUUAGAAGAGAUGUUUGAGAGCUUCAGCACCUGCGCUCACACACAUGCUCACCUGCCCACAGAACCUUACAUGCCCUUGAUUAUUGGGAGAUUGGAAGAAUAACACAAGAGGGUAAAACCUCCUCUGGAGACCAAUAACUCCAAGGAUACUGACUUGCCCUCCGGGGGACCUAAGACCCAUCUGGAAGGUGACAAUUGCCUUUGAUUUCUGUCCCUCUUCCUUUUCACAAGUAACUUUCCCCGUCCUUACCAUUGUCUUUCCUUCACUCUUAGGUAGUGAUCUCAGCUGAGUAAGAGCCAACAAAGAGCUUCCUAUUGAGAGGUUAGCCAAGGGUCUCAGCUUUUCCAGGGUUUCUUCCAUGGGUCCUUCUUGAAGAGUCCAUUAAAUCUUUCGUGGUAGAUUUUGUAGAGAGGCUAAUAAAGUAUAGGCUCUUUCAAGGUUCCCCAUAUCAUAGCCACAGACCCUUACACAUUUGUUCAUCCUAUCUACUUUUAAGACCAUUAUAAGUUCCCAUAUAAAAGGACAGGUUAUCAUAUGGGGAUAUUAAAGGUGAAACUGUAGUUUUUAAGAUCCACAAUAGGAGAAAAAAGUAACUCGGAAAAGUAAAAUCACAGGAAGUCACAAAUCUCUUAAUUUCAUUAUACGAUUCUAAACUGUAGGCCCUCCAAGGUCAAGGGUAGGCAAAGUCUGACUAAUUUUUAUAAUACCAGUACCUAACAGAGUAUCUUGAAUAUAGAUCCUCAAUGAA